UGAGGUAUAGCUCAGUGGCAAAGUACAUGUUUGGUAUGCACGAGGUCCUGGGUUCAGUUCCUAGAAUUGAAA
rnacentral:tRNA from 1 species